rnacentral:rRNA from 1 species
UGCUUCCUUUUCAUGGCAUAGCUCGCACGCAAGGUCCUGAGCGUGUCUGCAUCCAUGCCAGCUACAAAUCUUGAAAAUUCAGCUGAGCGUGUGUUCAUACGUACAGGGUACACCUUGAAUUGGCCUCCAUUAUCGAAAGGAUCAACUGACCAGGAAGCAGCAGGGUGCAUGACCAUACAAGAGAAGAGACCGGUCGUUGUGCAAUAGACUUUGUUUUGCCAAAGCAUGGGUUCGAGUUGGAGGUACCAGUACAUGAAGACGGUCCUUCUCCUUGUUAUGCAGCAGCUCAUUCUGGCAAUCUCUGUACGUGCGACCAGAGAUCUCUUCCAGCGCGACCCUGAUGGACCUAAUCAGGCCUGUUGUUAUUGCUGCCAUUGAGAUCCAAGUCUAUCAUUCCUCUUUGUUGAACGAAGGUCUUAGUGUGGAAGAAUGGCUGAUUGAAAUUCAACAUGUUAGUAUCAAGGAUCAGCUCACCGACAUGUUCGAGUCAUUUUGUUUCGGUAUUAAAUUCUUGUAAACAGUUCAUGUCGGGCAUGUCGCCGUGUCAUAUUCUUAUUUAAAUCAUAUUUACCUCCGUCCCAAAAAACAUGUCUUAUAUUUAUCUAGAUACAAACGUAUCUAACCCUAGAACUUUUUGGGACUAAGGGAGUAUAUACAUAAAUAAAGAGAAAAGUACAAAAACCAUAGAAUGGC